rnacentral:lncRNA from 1 species
CUUCUGUCUCACUAGAAUGUCCAAGGCUCCAAGCAUAUCACAGUUUUCUUAUGUGUGGCAGUUCGUAGAGUUCUGCCUUUCGUUUGCUCUGCAACACAAGGCUCCUCUCUGACUCUGGUAACCAUGCAGUCCUCUCUUCGUGUUUAUUUACUUCAUGCUUGCUUGUCCCUUUUUAAGUUUUCCAUCCUUUGGUCUCUUCAUGCAUUAAUUCCUUUUUCCUCUGUUUCCCACAAUCAUUUCCAUAAUUGUUCACAAUAAACAUGAAAAAGAAGGUUGUUUAGAUAAUUCUAUUGUUAUCGUGCUCAUAAAGAAAACAAUUCCAACCCCUUCUGAUACCUCCUGCUUUCGUUAGUUCACUUAUUCAUACUUUCAUAGCUAGAAACUAAGUUUUCAUAGUUCUGAUGAAAUUUCUUUGGUGUCCACUAUCCAUAUUGUAAUUCAUGCACACAAAGAAAAGGAACUUCUAGUGGAGUCAUAUUUCUUAUCUCCAUUCCAGUGCAUCAUUUGAUUUAUGCAUGCCUGCACAAAUAGCCCUCAGUUCCCCAUUUCUUACUAGUUCAUAUUGUCACAAGUUUACCAGCUAGUUAUCUCACUUAUAUGUUCCCCUCCCUUCAAAUCAUUCAAUUAUACUUCAAUGUAGUGGUGGACUGUCAUGAACUCACUUCUCUCCGAUUCGAUUCACUCAAGUAACGAAGGAAUUUGAGGAUAGAAGUUUCGGGAGGAAGAAGAAGAGCAGAGCUAGAGGAAGAAGAAGAUGAAGGAAGCAGAGGAGAGUUUGAAAUAUUGGGGAAUAGUUUGUACAAUUUCUUUCAUGUCCCUGAACUCUCGACCCUGCCGAUCUUAUAUAGCAAUGAGCUAAUAGAUCUCUCUCACUGACCCGUGGCCCGGCAAACAUCAC